UGAACCGGCCAGCAAAAUAAAAAUAAAAAAGUAAACUUCGACUUGGAUCAUGAUGAGAAGAUGUGGGAGGGGGUGGUGGCUCCCUCUAGAGACAACCACCCUCGCUACUAGAAUAACAUCAACUCGAGAGGAAAUUUUGCUAGGGAAUUUUCCCAAGCGAAUUCCUCCCAAAGUCGAGGGAAACUCGUAGGAAAUUAUUUGCAUGGAAAUAUCGAAGGAUUUGGCACGGAUGAAAAUUGCUACGGAAAAGUUUCUCCUCAAAUCUCUCGCAAAAAUUAAAAAAAAAAUUGAAAAAAAAAUACAUAAAAGGCUUGCGAGGGAUAUAUCCUUUUGCAAAUCCGGGAUCUUCCCUCAUAACCCUUAAAUAUAUAUAUUACUAUUAUAUUUUUUCCUUAUUCCUCCUAACUUCUUCAUCUGAACACAAAGAGACGCAGAGGAGCCUACGUUCCAAGCCAUAGAAUUUCGCCUGGAUCGAGCUGCAGGAAGAAGAAGUCCAUCGCAAACUCAAGCAACUGGAUCGACCUCGACUGCUCUAGCCCACGACUGCUUAUUGGCAAGGGAAUCAAGUAAUCAGUGCCACCAACCGCCGCCCCGCAGCUCGAUCGGUGCCCUAAGCUGUCGCCCCGCAGCUCGAUUGGUUCCCACAGCCGCUGGCCCCGCUCGGUGUCCCCCAGAUCGCCGGCCUCCAGCUCAUUGCUGUCCUGUUUGGUGCAUCCCAGCAACACCGUUCGUGGCCGCAGCUCCAGUUCGCCGGCCCCCUAACUGAUCGGCACCAAUAACGUGGCCCCCAAUACACCGACCCCAACUCACCGCCUCUGUGCUGCCCAGACGGAUCCUAAUCAUUUCUUUUUAAUUUUUAAUUGAAUCUUUUCGCCGCAAAUUCCUCGCACUUAUAAAGGCCAAUACAAAUCCCUCGCAAAUUAAAUUUGCGAGGAAAAUAUCUCUCGCAAAAAAAAAAAAAAAAGACUAGCAAUUUUAUAAUAGAUGUCAUUCCUCGCAAAUCUGAAUAAAAGGACGAUUUUGAGAAGGAAUUGCAAGGGAUUGUUCCCUCUCAAAUUGAUGUUUUUUCUAGUAGUGCACUCCUCAGACCAGGUCGUCGAUGACGCUACAGGUCUGGGUGGUGGCGCCGGUAAUAGGCACUAUGGCCCUACACGUCCAGCACCAAUGACAACCCCUUUUUUAUAGCCUGUUGCAGUGCUUUUUUUAUUAUUUAUUAUUUAUUUUAUUUAAUUUUCAACUUUAUAAUUUCUUUAUUUUUUCAACUUUA